GGUUGAUCCUGCCAGUAGCAUAUGCUUGUCUUAAGGACUAAGCCAUGCAUGUCUAAGUAUAAACAAUUUUAUACUGCGAAACUGCGAAUGGCUCAUUAAAUCAGUUAUAAUCUAUUUGAUGGUAUAAAUUCUAUUUGGAUAACCGUAGAAAAGCUAGAGCUAAUACAUGCAAAAAGUCUCGACUGGGAGGUAAAACUUUUGGAAGGGAUGUAUUUAUUAGAUACAAAAUCAAUGGGUUGAGGGUUUCGGCCGUCAACUCUUUUUUGAUGAUUCAUAAUAACUAAACGAAGCGU
rnacentral:rRNA from 1 species